rnacentral:rRNA from 1 species
GACGAACCGAGCGAACGUUGUUCGGAAUCACUGGGCUUAAAGGGCGCGUAGGCGGGCCGCCGCGUCCGGGGUGAAAUCCUCCCGCUCAACGGGAGAACGGCCUCGGAUACGGGCGGCCUGGAGGGGGGUAUGGGCGUGCGGAACUGUGGGUGGAGCGGUGAAAUGCGUUGAUAUCCACAGGAACUCCGGUGGCGAAGGCGGCACUCUGGGCCGGUACUGACGCUGAGGAGCGAAAGCGUGGGGAGCGAACAGG